CCAAGGAAUGAGGUGUUUGUGUGGAAAUCCCAUUACACCAUCAAGAGGGAGACCGCACUGACAGGGGUCCAAGAUCCAUCUCAGGCCCUACUGUAGACUGCCCGCCAGCAGACGGAGGCCCACCGACGGACGUCGGCUCAAUGGCCAACAGUGGCCCGCCGGCCGGCUGACGGUGGCUCGCCGACCGACGCCGGCCCGUCGGCCGACCACGGCCCACCAGUUGAUGGUGGCCCGCCAGCUGACGGAGGUCCGCCGGCCAUUCGUAGCACGCCCGCCGACGGCAGCUCGAUGCACAUCCUGGCCUUAACUAUGGCUAUGUCACCCCCAAGAUUAGUUCGCCCCCCCCCCCCCCCCAAGUCCCUAGGUGAGUGGCUGGAGAGUGGAGAGAACUUUGUGUGUUGCCGGGAGGGGAUGUCUGCUAAUGCAGGUGCCGUUGCAGGGGUCGUGACGUAUGAUGGGUCUCAGACUCGGGCCUCGACUUUUGAGUGAGAAACGCAUAAACAGGUUAAUGUAUUGCAAUUAUGGCGAAGUGUGCGACAGGAAACGCUAUGAGCUAUGAGUUAUCGUCGCCGUGGCGGAAAUGUGAGGACCGUCGCAACCUGUGACGUCGCCGUGACUGCUAAUUGAUGGUCGCCUUGACUCGUGUGUAACGGUCACUGUGCAUGGUAUGUGACGGCCGCCAUGACUGUUUAUAUAACGGCCGCCGUGACUGUUAAUAUAACGGCCGUCGCGACUGAAACGUGACGGUCGUCGUGAGAUCUGACGUGUCGCGACUCGCUGUGUCACAGGUCACCAGUUGCGGGCGCUCCAUCUGACGGUGUCGUCCGACGGCUCCACGGUGACCAGCGCCGCCACUGCGGAAACCUUCGGACCCCGAAAAUGCUGCUAACCGUACACGAACAAAAGGCGCCAUGCACCCAGGACCAGCGCCCUGCUCCGAGGCGGUAUCCAAAGAAGGCCGCAUAGUGCACUUGCUGUGCUAAGGCAUAGUGCGCGCUGACUGAUAGGAACAAAUGACGGUCAGUUAUCAGAUCUCAGUAUGGAACUCAAGAUGGUCGGAGCCGACCUGGCCCGGUGGAUGGUGUGCCAGGGUUGAUUAAGUGUCGAAAGGAGUGAGACGCCCAGAUAUGUGAAGGAUACGUCGAUACGAGCCCCGGCUUCGACUCCCCGUCCCAAAACGAUGUUGGCUGUGAUUGGAGUUUGGUAUCUUUACGGAUUCCCCCCCCCCCACCCCACCCCGGAAUUUGUGCUAUGUAAUAGGACGAUAAUAUGUCGUGGUCUCAUUUUGGCUCGAUAUGGUAAUAGGUACUUAAUUGGAUAGAUGUUGAUGGUAUUGGUGGUGGAUGUAAAUGACAGGUUUGGCGAGCGCGAACUAGUAAUCGUGAGUGCACUAGCUGCAAUCAGUCGCGCGCUUAUUGCUGAGCACCUGUGAGCAAGAAAAUGGUAUGAAAGUGGUAGUUCCUCGUGAAAUCUGUGUACUUUUGGAUUAAGUUUUCAGAACAGAAGUGUAUUUUUGCCGUGUCCACUGCAGCUCUGGAACAGAAACAUAGAGAUCGGCUGUGUGCUGUAGCAGGGGCAAGUAGUCCGUGCCAAAAAAAAAAUCAAAGGUGAUAUGUGAAUUUAAGUGAAUAUACCUCGCUUUAUUUUC